UACGUAGGUGGCAAGCGUUGUCCGGAAUUACUGGGUGUAAAGGGAGCGCAGGCGGGAAGCCAAGUCAGCUGUGAAAACUACGGGCUUAACUUGUAGACUGCAGUUGAAACUGGUUUUCUUGAGUGAAGUAGAGGUUGGCGGAAUUCCGAGUGUAGCGGUGAAAUGCGUAGAUAUUCGGAGGAACACCGGUGGCGAAGGCGGCCAACUGGGCUUUAACUGACGUUGAGGCUCGAAAGUGUGGGGAGCAAGCAGG
rnacentral:rRNA from 1 species